rnacentral:rRNA from 1 species
GGGAUACCACUUGGAAACAGGUGCUAAUACCGGAUAACAACAAUAGCUGCAUGGCUAUUGCUUAAAAGGCGGCGAAAGCUGUCGCUAAAGGAUGGACCCGCGGUGCAUUAGCUAGUUGGUAAGGUAAUGGCUUACCAAGGCGACGAUGCAUAGCCGAGUUGAGAGACUGAUCGGCCACAUUGGGACUGAGACACGGCCCAAACUCCUACGGGAGGCAGCAGUAGGGAAUCUUCCACAAUGGGCGAAAGCCUGAUGGAGCAACGCCGCGUGAGUGAAGAAGGUUUUCGGAUCGUAAAGCUCUGUUGUUGGUGAAGAAGGAUAGAGGUAGUAACUGGCCCCUAUCUGACGGUAAUCAACCAGAAAGUCACGGCUAACUACGUGCCAGCAGCCGCGGUAAUACGUAGGUGGCAAGCGUUGUCCGGAUUUAUUGGGCGUAAAGCGAGCGCAGGCGGAAAGAUAAGUCUGAUGUGAAAGCCCCCGGCUUAACCGAGGAAUUGCAUCGGAAACUGUGUUUCUUGAGUGCAGAAGAGGAGAGUGGAACUCCAUGUGUAGCGGUGGAAUGCGUAGAUAUAUGGAAGAACACCAGUGGCGAAGGCGGCUCUCUGGUCUGUAACUGACGCUGAGGCUCGAAAGCAUGGGUAGCGAACAGGAUUAGAUACCCUGGUAGUCCAUGCCGUAAACGAUCAGU